UGGAAGAACAAGUGUUAUCGGUGUGGAGAGGGGGGCCAUAUAGAGAGGAACUGCAAGAACAGUCCCAAGAAACUGAGGCGUGGUCGGAGUUAUUCCCGAUCACCAGCUAGAUCGCACUCUCCUCGCCGUGGCAGAAGUCGUAGCCCAAGUUACAGCCGAGGUCGAAGUUACAGCCGGUCAAGAUCUCCACCACCAAAGAGAGAGCCAAGUGUUGAGAAUGAUGACAGGUCCCUGAGCCAUGAGCCAAAGAAUGGUCUGCCCUCCAAGAGUAGGAACCGCAGCAUAACGCCUGAUGAAGGCAGCCCAAACCCUUCUGCCAAAGCUCGGAAACUGGAUGACCAGCAAGAGAGA
rnacentral:misc_RNA from 1 species